rnacentral:rRNA from 7 species
AGAGUUUGAUCAUGGCUCAGAUUGAACGCUGGCGGCAGGCCUAACACAUGCAAGUCGAACGGUAACAGAAAGCAGCUUGCUGCUUUGCUGACGAGUGGCGGACGGGUGAGUAAUGUCUGGGAAACUGCCUGAUGGAGGGGGAUAACUACUGGAAACGGUAGCUAAUACCGCAUAACGUCGCAAGACCAAAGAGGGGGACCUUCGGGCCUCUUGCCAUCGGAUGUGCCCAGAUGGGAUUAGCUUGUUGGUGGGGUAACGGCUCACCAAGGCGACGAUCCCUAGCUGGUCUGAGAGGAUGACCAGCCACACUGGAACUGAGACACGGUCCAGACUCCUACGGGAGGCAGCAGUGGGGAAUAUUGCACAAUGGGCGCAAGCCUGAUGCAGCCAUGCCGCGUGUAUGAAGAAGGCCUUCGGGUUGUAAAGUACUUUCAGCGGGGAGGAAGGGAGUAAAGUUAAUACCUUUGCUCAUUGACGUUACCCGCAGAAGAAGCACCGGCUAACUCCGUGCCAGCAGCCGCGGUAAUACGGAGGGUGCAAGCGUUAAUCGGAAUUACUGGGCGUAAAGCGCACGCAGGCGGUUUGUUAAGUCAGAUGUGAAAUCCCCGGGCUCAACCUGGGAACUGCAUCUGAUACUGGCAAGCUUGAGUCUCGUAGAGGGGGGUAGAAUUCCAGGUGUAGCGGUGAAAUGCGUAGAGAUCUGGAGGAAUACCGGUGGCGAAGGCGGCCCCCUGGACGAAGACUGACGCUCAGGUGCGAAAGCGUGGGGAGCAAACAGGAUUAGAUACCCUGGUAGUCCACGCCGUAAACGAUGUCGACUUGGAGGUUGUGCCCUUGAGGCGUGGCUUCCGGAGCUAACGCGUUAAGUCGACCGCCUGGGGAGUACGGCCGCAAGGUUAAAACUCAAAUGAAUUGACGGGGGCCCGCACAAGCGGUGGAGCAUGUGGUUUAAUUCGAUGCAACGCGAAGAACCUUACCUGGUCUUGACAUCCACGGAAGUUUUCAGAGAUGAGAAUGUGCCUUCGGGAACCGUGAGACAGGUGCUGCAUGGCUGUCGUCAGCUCGUGUUGUGAAAUGUUGGGUUAAGUCCCGCAACGAGCGCAACCCUUAUCCUUUGUUGCCAGCGGUCCGGCCGGGAACUCAAAGGAGACUGCCAGUGAUAAACUGGAGGAAGGUGGGGAUGACGUCAAGUCAUCAUGGCCCUUACGACCAGGGCUACACACGUGCUACAAUGGCGCAUACAAAGAGAAGCGACCUCGCGAGAGCAAGCGGACCUCAUAAAGUGCGUCGUAGUCCGGAUUGGAGUCUGCAACUCGACUCCAUGAAGUCGGAAUCGCUAGUAAUCGUGGAUCAGAAUGCCACGGUGAAUACGUUCCCGGGCCUUGUACACACCGCCCGUCACACCAUGGGAGUGGGUUGCAAAAGAAGUAGGUAGCUUAACCUUCGGGAGGGCGCUUACCACUUUGUGAUUCAUGACUGGGGUGAAGUCGUAACAAGGUAACCGUAGGGGAACCUGCGGUUG